UAUAUUUCUUGACUUUAUUGUUUCUAAUGCUAUCAAAUGUUUACAAGUCUGAAUAAGCCUCAAUUUAUAUAUAAGUACAGAAGGAGAUUUAGUAUAAUUGAUAAUGAGAAAACUAUCAACUAGAAUUCAAAUGAUGUGGAUGUGAACUAUUAUAGGUCUUUGUACAGCCUUCAACUAUGAAAAAAAGACCCAUACCAUAGUCAGCUAAAAAAGGCCCCAACAUGAAAAUGUAGAACAAUUAAAAAAAGAAAACUAGCAGCCUACCUUAUAACCAGAUGUAUUGCAGGGCACAGCUUUAUACAACCACAGACGUUGAACCCUGAACAGUUGGGGCAAGUAUGGACACAACAUUCAAGCUUGAUACAGCUCUUAAUUUGGAUUGUGAUUAAAUAGUUGACAUAGAAUGAAUGUGGUC
rnacentral:lncRNA from 1 species